CAUAUCCGGACUUUUCUGGUGUAAACAACGACAGUUGCGUCAGCCGAACAUUGAAGAAAAGCUGACAAGUCAUGGAGGAAGAAGAUCCCUCUCAAGAAAGUAUUGCAGUGAUGAAGUCAGAUGAGAUGACAGGUUGUGUGAUUUGAAGAUGGACUUCUGCAACAAAGUAAACACUCCUCUACCUUUUCCAUACAAAAGAAACAGCAAAGCAGAGAGAUCGAAACAUUUGGUAAAAGUACAAAGAAAACAGGAUUAGUUAAACUUGUGAAAAAUAUCAAGACUAUUGAAGAGCAGAUUAUAUGUAAAAAGAAAGAUCAAGACUACAAUUGGUAGCUGAAUCAGUAGCCUAGCCACAUUAAUUACUUUUUAAUUAGCUAUUUGUACAUUUAAGGUAAUCUGACUGAGUUACUAAAAUUGUUAUUUAACAAAUAUUUCAAAUAAAUAAAAGAUUUUUGAAUAACAAUCAGUAGAUGCUAUUAAGAACCUCAAUCUCCAACCCCUUUUCUUCAAAUAACAA